rnacentral:rRNA from 1 species
GACGAACGCUGGCGGCGUGCUUAACACAUGCAAGUCGAACGGAAAGGCCCUGCUUUUGUGGGGUGCUCGAGUGGCGAACGGGUGAGUAACACGUGAGUAACCUGCCCUUGACUUUGGGAUAACUUCAGGAAACUGGGGCUAAUACCGUAUAGGAGCUCCUGCUGCAUGGUGGGGGUUGGAAAGUUUCGGCGGUUGGGGAUGGACUCGCGGCUUAUCAGUUUGUUGGUGGGGUAGUGGCUUACCAAGGCUUUGACGGGUAGCCGGCCUGAGAGGGUGACCGGCGUCAUUGGUACUGAGAUACGGCCCAGACUCCUACGGGAGGCAGCAGUGGGGAAUAUUGCACAAUGGGCGGGAGCCUGAUGCAGCAACGCCGCGUUCGGGAUGACGGCCUUCGGGUUGUAAACCGCUUUCGCCUGUGACGAAGCGUGAGUGACGGUAAUGGGUGAAGAAGCACCGGCUAACUACGUG